GAAAUGCGAUACGUAGUGUGAAUUGCAGAAUUCAGUGAAUCAUCGAAACCUUGAACGCAUCUUGCGCUCGUGGCAUUCCCACGAGCAUGCCUGUUCGAGUGUCAACUUUACACUCAUUCAAAAACUCACUCUGUGGGUUCUUUGAGUGGAAUUGAGCGUUGGUUCGAGAGACGCCAUCGCUUUAAAUUGAGCGGGGGAACCGGUAAGAGAGCUUCCGCUAUCAACCGUCAUCCUAGGGGAUUUAGUAAUGUGCUUAAGUGCAUAACUCCUUCUCCUUUUAUGAAUAGGUUGAGGUGACUCUUUCUUACUACCCCUUUACAAAACUUUGUUAAUUCAACCAUUUGACCUCGAAUCAGGCAAGGCUACCCGCUGAAUUUAA
rnacentral:misc_RNA from 1 species